rnacentral:rRNA from 1 species
UACGGAGGAUGCAAGCGUUAUCCGGAUUUAUUGGGUUUAAAGGGUGCGUAGGCGGAUAUGUAAGUCAGCGGUGAAACUCACAGGCUCAACUUGUGCCGUGCCGUUGAAACUGUGUAUCUGGAAUGCGGAUGCUGUGGGAGGAAUGUGUAGUGUAGCGGUGAAAUGCAUAGAUAUUACACAGAACACCGAUUGCGAAGGCAUCUCACAAAGCCGUUAUUGACGCUGAGGCACGAAAGUGUGGGGAUCAAA